GACGAACGCUGGCGGCGUGCUUAACACAUGCAAGUCGAGCGGAAAGGCCACUUCGGUGGUACUCGAGCGGCGAACGGGUGAGUAACACGUGAGUAAUCUGCCCUUGGCUUUGGGAUAGCCACCGGAAACGGUGAUUAAUACCGGAUACGACCACUUCUCGCAUGGGAUGGUGGUGGAAAGUUUUUCGGCCAGGGAUGUGCUCGCGGCCUAUCAGCUUGAUGGUGAGGUAAUGGCUCACCAUGGCUUCGACGGGUAGCCGGCCUGAGAGGGUGACCGGUCACACUGGGACUGAGACACGGCCCAGACUCCUACGGGAGGCAGCAGUGGGGAAUAUUGGACAAUGGGCGGAAGCCUGAUCCAGCAACGCCGCGUGAGGGAUGACGGCCUUCGGGUUGUAAACCUCUUUCGGUAGGGACGAGGCGUAAGUGACGGUACCUACUAAAGAAGCACCGGCCAACUACGUGCCAGCAGCCGCCGUAAAAC
rnacentral:rRNA from 1 species